UACGUACUUCCUCCGUUCCGAAUUACUUGUCGCAGGUAUGGAUUUAUUUAGAUAUAUUUUAGUUUUAGAUACAUCCAUUUCUGCGACGAGUAAUUUGGAACGGAGGGAGUACUAU
rfam:Triticum urartu cultivar G1812 contig149737, whole genome shotgun sequence.